rnacentral:rRNA from 1 species
UACGGAGGGACCUAGCGUAGUUCGGAAUUACUGGGCUUAAAGAGUUCGUAGGUGGUUGAAAAAGUUGGUGGUGAAAUCCCAGAGCUUAACUCUGGAACUGCCAUCAAAACUUUUCAGCUAGAGUAUGAUAGGGGAAAGUAGAAUUUCUAGUGUAGAGGUGAAAUUCGUAGAUAUUAGAAAGAAUACCAAUUGCGAAGGCAGCUUUCUGGAUCAUUACUGACACUGAGGAACGAAAGCAUGGGUAGCGAAGAGGAUUAGAUACCCUCGUAGUCCAUGCCGUAAACGAUGUGUGUUAGACGUUGGAAAUUUAUUUUCAGUGUCGCAGCGAAAGCGAUAAACACACCGCCUGGGGAGUACGACCGCAAGGUUAAAACUCAAAUGAAUUGACGGGGACCCGCACAAGUAGUGGAGCAUGUGGUUUAAUUCGAAGAUACGCGCAGAACCUUACCAACACUUGACAUGUUCGUCGCGACUCUAAGAGAUUAGAGUUUUCGGUUCGGCCGGACGAAACACAGGUGCUGCAUGGCUGUCGUCAGCUCGUGUCGUGAGAUGUUGGGUUAAGUCCCGCAACGAGCGCAACCCUCACUUUUAGUUGCCAUCAUUAAGUUGGGCACUCUGAAAGAACUGCCAGUGAUAAGCUGGAGGAAGGUGGGGAUGACGUCAAGUCCUCAUGGCCCUUACGUGUUGGGCUACACACGUGCUACAAUGGUAUCUACAACAGGAAGCAAAACUGCGAAGUUAAGCAAAUCCCUAAAAGAUACCUCAGUUCGGAUUGCACUCUGCAACUCGAGUGCAUGAAGCUGGAAUUACUAGUAAUCGUGGAUCAGCGUGCCACGGUGAAUGCGUUCCCGGGUCU